rnacentral:rRNA from 1 species
AUUGAACGCUGGCGGCAGGCUUAACACAUGCAAGUCGAGCGGAGAGAGGUAGCUUGCUACUGAUCUUAGCGGCGGACGGGUGAGUAAUGCUUAGGAACCUGCCUAUUAGUGGGGGACAACAUUUCGAAAGGAAUGCUAAUACCGCAUGCGUCCUACGGGAGAAAGCAGGGGAUCUUCGGACCUUGCGCUAAUAGAUGAGCCUAAGUCGGAUUAGCUAGUUGGUGGGGUAAAGGCCUACCAAGGCGACGAGCUGUAGCGGGUCUGGGAGGAUGAUCCGCCACACUGGGACUGAGACACGGCCCAGACUCCUACGGGAGGCAGCAGUGGGGAAUAUUGGACAAUGGGCGCAAGCCUGAUCCAGCCAUGCCGCGUGUGUGAAGAAGGCCUUAUGGUUGUAAAGCACUUUAAGCGAGGAGGAGGCUACUUUAGUUAAUACCUAGAGAUAGUGGACGUUACUCGCAGAAUAAGCACCGGCUAACUCUGUGCCAGCCGCCGCAGUAAGAC